UACGUAGGGUGCAAGCGUUAAUCGGAAUUACUGGGCGUAAAGCGUGCGCAGGCGGUUAUAUAAGACAGCUGUGAAAUCCCCGGGCUCAACCUGGGAACUGCAUCUGUGACUGUAUAGCUAGAGUACGGUAGAGGGGGAUGGAAUUCCGCGUGUAGCAGUGAAAUGCGUAGAUAUGCGGAGGAACACCGAUGGCGAAGGCAAUCCCCUGGACCUGUACUGACGCUCAUGCACGAAAGCGUGGGGAGCAAACAGG
rnacentral:rRNA from 1 species